GUUAGGAAAUGAAGAAAGCAAAAGCUCAGAAGGGAAAGAAUGAGGCUACAGAGAGUUUGAGGAUUUUCAUUGAAAGGGCGGUUGCCUCUCUCUGCAAUUAGCCAAUGAUUUCUCUAUUUACUGUAAGAACCCUAACAGCCCUUUUUAUCGAUUGUAUCGGAGGGAGUAUAUAUAUAUAUAUAUAUAUAUAUAUUAUUAAGGGUUUUCUAUACCCUUCCACUCUUUUUUUCUUUUUCUUUUUAUAAUGCCUUCGCCGGAGCAUUCUAUGCUUGCCGGUGGAGCUGGUGGAAGCGGUGACGGUGAGUAUAAUCGGCUGCUAAAAUGAGGCGAUGAUGAUUGUUGUCAUUCCCUUCUGAGCUUAUUAAUUAAUCGGGGCAUUUUGAGAUAACCCGACCCGUAUCUUGGCGGGGCAAUGCCCUCAGAUUUACGCUGGUGGGUUUUUGCAGCCAUGGCGUCGUUGGACUCUCCUUUUGCCUUCAGUUAAACACAGAUCUGAGCCUCACAUAUAUAGUUUGACCUCUCUGUAACAACAUCCCUAUAACAACAUCCCUAUGUAACAAUCAUUCACUAUAAAAGCAAGUUUUUUAGGAACCGAUUUUAACAUUACGUUAUAAUAUAUGUUCUAAUAGCUUUUCAGUAUAGCAGCAAAAAAUAUCGGAACAAACUAAGAGUUUUGACUGUAUGUGUGAAUUUUAGAAAAUUCAGCUAAUUUUGGAAUGGGAUAUAGAGGAUUCAUACCGAUUUGGUAUGAGGUGUAGUAGUAGUUGAUGUUGUUGUUUUAGAUGAUAGAAGGAUUUGACUGCAUGGAUUGCAAAAAUCACAAUUUAGUUUUCUCUGUUUUGUCCGUGCGUGGAGCUAAAAAGGCCUAAUCUCUUGUUUCACUGGUUAUCAGAAUGGACUUUUUGCUUUUCAAAAUGCAAAGAACUAACAACUGUGAAAGUCUUAUUAGUUUCAAGUCUGAGGCUGUGGUGAAUGCAGAGAGCUGUAGGAAGUUUUAAUGGGUGGUUUUGCCCCUCUCCGUCUUUCUCCUCUGCCAAUGAUAACUGCAAUGAAACAUUUUUCCAUUAACAAAACCACCCUUUUGGUGAAAAUACACAAUGGCCUUGCUAGUUUCCUGUUCUUGUUACUCUCUUCGUUUCAAUGCAAUGAGGCUGUGGAGAUUUUAGUCCUCUGUGGGAGAUGAAUCGGACAUUUUUCUCUUUAGCUGAAAACACUGUAUCUUGGCAUGGCAGCUCAGAUGGGUCUAUGAGAUUUGGGGGCAAAGUUCCAUUUUUGGUAUUUCCUCUGUCUCAUAAGACUAACUGUUGCUUGCAGCCAAUAGUGCUAAAGAAUGAGGUUUUUGGUGACUCGGAGAGUGCAGGAGUCUCUAAGGUUGGGUUCUCUUUCUCUGUGAGUUCAUAGUUGAUGAAUUCUCUUGGUUUAGGGACAAGUUAUGCCGGCGCAAUGAGUAUGAUUGACAGCUUGAAAGAGGCAAUGAUAAUUUUGUAAAUCUAUCACAUUAAUCGGGCAAUUGAGAUUAUCGACUCGUAUCUUGGCGGGAAUGCUCUCAGGUCUGGUGGGUUUUGCAGCCAUGGCUUCGGCUGAAUCUCCUGCAGCCCUGGCAUCAGACGAUGUUGAUGAAAACAAUGAUGACGAUGCUAAAUCAGUCAACUAUGCCCUUAUCCCAAAUAGUUCGCAUCGGCUAUAUGGACCUCUCUGUUCAUUCUACUCUAAACCCCAAACCUAGUGAAUGAGGCUGUGAUGAUCUUAUCCAGAAAGCUUGAAAUCUCAGAUAUUUGUGCUGAGUCUUAGCUUGGCUGGGGAAGGUAGGGGGAGUUUUGUUUUUUAGCUUUGGGUUUUGAUACUUGUAGACAAAUCUGAGCCUCAUUUUGUAUUACUUUCAAUUCCUUGGACAAUCUGUCAACAUUUUCUUUUCUAUUUUUUUUUUGUUUUUAUGUUUACAUGUCUCUAGAUUAUUAAACCCCUCUUCUUACAACAACCAUGCUUCAGUUUCAAGCUAGUUGUAGUCGCUUAUAGCCUUAUAUGAAUCCUCACUAUUUUUUCUACUUCGUUUGGACCCAUUUUGUUCCAACAUUCGAUAAUUUGGGGCUCUCUAACUCUAGAAGUUCUGCCAUACAAAUGUACUAAAAGGCCUCCUAGUAAACACUACAGGUAAUAUAAGUGUACAAAGGUUUUUUCCACUUUUGAAAAGAAGUUUCGUGUAUUCACCUCAAAUUUUCCAUUUUCUCUGAGGCAGUGAAGAUUAUCUUAAAAAGACUGAACACUAUUUUUGAGCUAAUUUCUGGCUUGGCACUUGGAAGGUCUGUGGAGGAUAUUGUCCCUUCUCAUGAGGCAACCAUGUAUGCAGCUAUGAAGUUUUAGCUCUGCUCUUUGAUUAAAUAGGCGAAAAUCUGAGCCUCCUCUAUACCUCAGUUUAACUUUUGUUAGAACACUGUAACUGUAUAUUGGUGAAGCUUUCUGGGAAUAAAUUUGAAUUUAAAUUCCAGUCUUAAA